GCUAAUACCGCAUAACAUCAAUUUAUCGCAUGAUAGGUUGAUCAAAGGAGCAAUCCGCUGAAAGAUGGACUCGCGUCCGAUUAGAUAGUAGGCGGGGUAACGGGCCCACCCUAGUCGACGAUCGGUAGCCGGACUGAGAGGUUGAACGGCCACAUUGGGACUGAGACACGGCCCAGACUCCUACGGGAGGCAGCAUG
rnacentral:rRNA from 1 species